rnacentral:lncRNA from 1 species
UGUGUUUUGAAGUGUGAAAUGCAAAGUAAUUGUGAUAGUUAAAUGCAAGAUAAAGUUCACUUUUAAACUGAACUAAAUAAGGUAUCUGAGAGACAACAAUGGUUAAAUGCAAUACAAUGUACAGGUUUUACUAGCGAAAUGAAAAUUUUCCUGUCCUGUCUGCUGUAAUCAUUUUAUAUCUGGAAAACCAGCCGACUUAAUCGAUAAUAACAAUCUCCAGAUUGGGUUCCUUCAAUAAAUAUGGACUAUAAACACAAUGAAAUAAGUUCCCCAAAAUCUAAAAUGGAGUGCUAUCAAAGGAGAAUUAAAGGAAAAAA